AUUGAACGCUGGCGGGAGGCUUAACACAUGCAAGUCGAACGAGUGGCGGACGGGUGAGUAAUGUCUGGGAAACUGCCCGAUGGAGGGGGAUAACUACUGGAAAUAGUAGCUAAUACCGCAUACCAUCGGAUGUGCCCAGAUGGGAUUAGCUAGUGGGUGGGGUAACGGCUCACCAAGGCGACGAUCCCUAGCUGGUCUGAGAGGACGACCGGGCACACGGGAACUGAGACACGGUCCAGACUCGUACGGGAGGCGCCAGUGGGGAAGUUGGGACAAUGGGGGCAAACCUGAUGAAGCGAUGCCGCGUGUAUGAGGAGGGCAUUCGGGUUUUAAAGUACUUUCGGCUGUGCGGCGGUACUUGCAGAAUAAGCACCGGCUAACUCCGUGCCAGCAGCCGCGGUAAUAC
rnacentral:rRNA from 1 species